rnacentral:rRNA from 1 species
CUACGGGACGCUGCAGUGGGGAAUAUUGCACAAUGGGCGCAAGCCUGAUGCAGCCAUGCCGCGUGUAUGAAGAAGGCCUUCGGGUUGUAAAGUACUUUCAGCGGGGAGGAAGGGAGUAAAGUUAAUACCUUUGCUCAUUGACGUUACCCGCAGAAGAAGCACCGGCAACUCCGUGCCAGCAGCCGCGGUAAUACGGAGGGUGCAAGCGUUAAUCGGAAUUACUGGGCGUAAAGCGCACGCAGGCGGUUUGCUAAGUCAGAUGUGAAAUCCCCGGGCUCAACCUGGGAACUGCAUCUGAUACUGGCAAGCUUGAGUCUCGUAGAGGGGGGUAGAAUUCCAGGUGUAGCGGUGAAAUGCGUAGAGAUCUGGAGGAAUACCGGUGGCGAAGGCGGCCCCCUGGACGAAGACUGACGCUCAGGUGCGAAAGCGUGGGGAGCAAACAGGAUUAGAUACCCCGGUAGUC